rnacentral:rRNA from 1 species
CUGCUGCCUCCCGUAGGAGUCUGGACCGUGUCUCAGUUCCAGUGUGGCUGGUCAUCCUCUCAGACCAGCUAGGGAUCGUCGCCUAGGUGAGCCGUUACCCCACCUACUAGCUAAUCCCAUCUGGGCACAUCCGAUGGCAAGAGGCCCGAAGGUCCCCCUCUUUGGUCUUGCGACGUUAUGCGGUAUUAGCUACCGUUUCCACGUAGUUAUCCCCCUCCAUCAGGCAGUUUCCCAGACAUUACUCACCCGUCCGCCA